UAAAGUUAUGCAAGCAUUUGCCUUAGAUAAAAUUUCAAGUUUUCAAAGCUGUUAGCUGGGUGGACGGCAUGGCUUUACUUCCUAUUUCUUGGUAUUUCCUAAUCUUGUUGAAAAAGUUUUUCUUUUUCUCAAAGGCUUAUUUCAGUGGAAGCCCAUCUGCAAAAUCUGUUAUUAAUUUAAAUUAGAAAAUCACUACAAGUCCCACUGACAUGUGGGUUAUUGUUUUUGCGAGUGACCUAAGGCCACCUCUCGGGGGAGCUGGGGGUUGCCUUCCCACGUCUGCGCGUCUGCACCCCAUGCCCGGGCCUGGAAGUCAGACUCGGGGGCGGUGCUGCAGCACCAGGCCUGCAGUCCUAAGCGCGGGGUCGCUCCGGGCCCCCGAGGGGGUGUGUCUUCUGCCCCUUUAACCUGGCAGGGGCAGUUCAAGUGGCCCGGGAAAUCAGCGAUUUGUAGGGUCAAGGGCUGGUGCUUUAAAAGAGAGGCGGAGGGGAGAGAGGGAUUUCCCGGUCUCUGCUGCACUCUGUCUAUCCGCUCGGUUACUCCUUUUCCUGGCCCGCGCGAACCCGCUGUGCCGCAGAGGCGGCCAUGUACCUUUAAGGCCCCGCUGCGCCUGCGCCUUGGGCUCUCCUGACGCGCCGAGCGGGACCCUGAGGAUCCAGCUGGCCGCAGGCUAUGGGCUGGGCGGCGGUUGAGACAGCGGCGAUAUUGGGAGGGGUAGGUGAGCGUCGCGAGGCAGCGUGAGCUUCUGAGUGAACGCGGUGCUUUUGGGAACGCGGGACGGGCGACCUGUGGCGCCAGGAGCGGGCCGAGGCGCGGCGGCGCGGCUGCCGUCUGGAUGGGAAGUUACGGUUUACAGCGAAGUCCACCCAGCGUUUCCGAGGUGAAGGCGCCGCGCCAGGCCGGGCGGGCGGCUGGUGAUGGGCAAGCCGGGUGUACCAAGUCCAGGAUGCACAUGAGGAGCGUUUGUAGCCGUCACUGAAUCACCUCAUGACUAGCGGGGCAGGCCUCUAAUUCACCGCAGGAUUUCCGAUCUCACUCUGUUGCCCAGGCUGGAGUGCAGUGGCACAAUCACAGCUGACCACAACCUUGACCUCCCAAGGCUCAGGUGAUCCUCCUGCCUCAGCCCCCAAGUAGCUGGGACCUACAGGCAAUCUGAAAGCAAAUCCUGUUUAGAUGCAGGCGAAGGUUCCUGGUGACCCAGGCUCUCACCUUACCGUCCCUUACCGUCCUCCUGAGGGUGUCCUGGAGCUUCAGUGCUGUGUGUUCUUGGCCUCCAUGCUGGGGGUGCCACCAAUUCCCACUGUCCAGGGCUUCCAGUGGACUCUCCGAGGUACUGAUGUAGAAACUUCCCCAUUCGGUGCACCAAGAGCAACCUCACACGGUGUGGGCCAAAUGAAGAGCUGCCAGAUCCCACAGAAAUGUGAUUGAUAAUAGUAAAGCCACACUCCUCAAGUGCCUGAAAUACCCCUCAUUGUCUUCUUCAGGUGGCAAGGGCUCUGGAACAGCCACAUAAAGGCUGAUGACUUCAGGGACAUGAGCAUGGGAUACCUGUCAUCACCACCACCAUAAAGUUGGGAUUCAGGAAGGAGGUUAAUCAUAUAAAGAAUCCUGUGACCAGUAUGAGCUUCUCUCAGGCCACACAGGGCACUCAAGUGAACAGGGCAUGGGGGCCCUGGGGUCAUGGUAAGAAAGUGUCUCAUUGGUAAAACCUUUUCCUCUGGGGAGGUAAAUAAAUGAUUUGUUUCUUCU
rnacentral:lncRNA from 1 species